GGCACAGUUCUUUUACCAUGUUGGAACCAGCAAUACUGUCUUCAAAAUGAGGUAUUACUUGGCACAUUCAGAUGCUCCCUUGCAAAGUUAUUUACCAAAAUA